rnacentral:rRNA from 1 species
ACUCCUACGGGAGGCAGCAGGGGGGAAUAUUGGACAAUGGGCGAAAGCCUGAUCCAGCCAUGCCGCGUGAGUGAUGAAGGCCCUAGGGUUGUAAAGCUCUUUUACCAGGGAUGAUAAUGACAGUACCUGGAGAAUAAGCUCCGGCUAACUCCGUGCCAGCAGCCGCGGUAAU